AGCAGCCGCGGUAAUUCCAGCUCCAAUAGCGUAUAUUAAAGUUGCUGCAGUUAAAAAGCUCGUAGUUGAAUUUCGGGACUAAUAUGUCGGUCGUGCCUCGGUACGUACUGGUAUUUUUGGUUUCUCCCUUCUGACGAACCUUGAUGUCAUUAAUUUGGUGGCUUGGGAAAUCAGGACUGUUACUUUGAAAAAAUUAGAGUGUUUAAAGCAGGCUCACGCUUGAAUACAUUAGCAUGGAAUAAUGAAAUAGGACGUUUGAUUCUAUUUUGUUGGUUCUAGGAUCGACGUAAUGAUUAAUAGGGAUAGUUGGGGGCAUUAGUAUUCAAUUGUCAGAGGUGAAAUUCUUGGAUUUAUUGAAGACUAACUACUGCGAAAGCAUUUUGCCAAGGAUGUUUUCAUUAAUCAAGAACGAAGUUAGGGGAUCGAAGACGAUCAGAUACCGUCGUAGUCUUAACCAUAAACUAUGCCGAACUAGGGAUCGGAUGAUGUUAAUUUUUAAUGACUCAUUCGGCGCCUUACGGGAAACC
rnacentral:rRNA from 1 species